rnacentral:rRNA from 1 species
UACGAAGGGGACUAGCGUUGUUUCGGAUUACUGGGCGUAAAGCGCGCGUAGGCGGAUCGCUAAGUCAGGGGUGAAAUCCCAGGGCUCAACCCUGGAACUGCCUUUGAUACUGACGAUCUGGAGAUCGGGAGAGGUUUGGUGGAAUUCCGAGUGUAGAGGUGAAAUUCGUAGAUAUUCGGAGGAACACCAGAAGCGAAGGCGGCCAACUGGCCCGAUACUGACGCUGAGGCGCGAAAGCGUGGGGAGCAAACAGG